rnacentral:misc_RNA from 1 species
GAUGAAGAACGUAGCGAAAUGCGAUACUUGGUGUGAAUUGCAGAAUCCCGUGAACCAUCGAGUCUUUGAACGCAAGUUGCGCCCGAAGCCAUUAGGCCGAGGGCACGCCUGCCUGGGCGUCACACGUCGUUGCCCCCCCAUCUACUCCUUCGGGAUUGUGGGGGGCGGAUGAUGGCCUCUCGUGCGCCUCGUCGCGCGGUUGGCCUAAAUGCCAAGUCCUCGGCGACGCACGCCACGACAAUCGGUGGUUGCGAAACCUCGGUUGCCUGUCGUGUGCGGUCGUCGCGCAUCGAGGGCUCGAAAAAAUUGCCGGGCUUCGGCUCGACUUUCAACGCGACCCCAGGUCAGGCGGGGUUACCCGCUGAAUUUAAGCAUAUCAAUAAGCGGAGGA